UACGUAGGAGGCGAGCGUUGUCCGGAUUUACUGGGCGUAAAGCGCGCGCAGGCGGCAGUGCAAGUAAGGUGUGAAAUCUCCCUGCUCAACGGGGAGGGUGCACUUUAGACUGCACAGCUCGAGGUCGGUAGAGGGGGGGUGGAAUUGCUGGUGUAGCGGUGAAAUGCGCAGAUAUCAGGAAGAACACCCGUGGCGAAAGCGGCUCUCUGGAACGGUACUGACGCUGAGACGCGAAAAGCGUGGGGGAGCGAACAGG
rnacentral:rRNA from 1 species